GCAGAGUUCAGUUGGGAUUGAAUUGUAUAACGGUGCGGUUGGCAGCGCUUGCAGCGCCCUUUUUCAUUUCACACUCGCUACGCAAACGCGCGCGUUUCUCACGCGAUUUUCAUACGACGUUCGUUGACUUCUUUAUUUCUGCGUUUGUCUGUUGGCCAAAAAGAACGUGACAAGGGUAGGCGAACUAAAAGGAUCUUAAUUGACUUGCCAACAUUUUGGGUUUUGUAUGUAUAUGAACCAUGCAGUAAAGCACGCACACUCACACGCAUGCACACUCACACACAUGCACAUGCUGCUAAAUUUAUCAAAGUGCAUCAUCCGGCUUUGUCAUUUGUUGCGCCUGUUUUGGUUUUAUAUAUUUUUUUGUGUAGCACAUUGUGGCCAGAUUUCGCGGAACUGCAAGCCCCCGCGUAUAAUAAAA